UGGGAGGAUACAGGACAGGAGACCUGGAACGUCUCUGCCGUGAGAGACCGGCCGAUCCUCCGGAGGUCCUCUCACACCUGCAGGGUCGUAAGAGGUGAACAGAGAAACGAGACGGCUGCUGGUGUACAGACUGUGACAGGAACGGUGUAAGAGUCUGCAGAAAACGGGCUUCUCCCAGAGGAGAGCUACGUGCAAACACUCCUGUUUGAAAGGUACUUCCCCCAGAUCUUUGGUGAUUAAUAAAUUGUACUUUACUGAA